GCACCGAGUCAGUGUACCGUGACCUUGAGCUCUUGCUCGCCUCCUCCAGACCAGCUCACAAAAUAUUGUCUUUCUAACAGAGGCAGGAGGAACACAAACCUGGACCAUUCUUCCUUGUGGAAUCUUAAUUCUUAUUUUCACUUCCUUCUUGAGCUGGGGCCGGGAAGGGAGAGCUGAGCUUCCUCAGGGCUUCUGAAAGCUGGGAAAUGGUUAUUGUCAGAAGCGGCCCCUCUUGAGGGAGCUCACCUGCAGGGGGAGUGGCCACAUCUGGCACUAAUUCAUUCAACAGACUUCAGCUGCAUGUUAGAGGCCGUGAUGGAUGCUCCAGGGGAUGAAGGCAACCAAGACAGACUCUGCCUUCAAGGAGCUGUAGCCAGUUCCCUUCGAAUCAGUUUUUCACUUUUUAAAAUGACUUUGUUCUUCAUAUUGGAGAAGAAGUUGGUAUGGAUGUUCAGUAAAAAUUAAACUUGUUCAGCUAAAAAUUUAACUAAAUUGCAACAUAAUUGUAUAAACUUUAUAAAGACGUAUCAUUAAGUCUUUACAUUUGUAGGUAUUCCUUCAACAUCCAAGCUCCUAAGAGACAGCAAACUCCUUCUGUCAUGUCGUGGCAACUAUUUGAAGCAACAAAAGGGAAAGAGAUAGUAAAAAUAACUCAUUCCAGUUGGCAGAGCAUCACUGUAUAGUUCUCAAAGUGCUUGUAUUUAUCAGAAAUAAAGCUGAUACCCUCUUGGCAGCACUAGAUCAAGUUGGUCCAUUUUGAUGCUGACAAGAGGACUGAUGUUCUUGCUUUUCGUGGUCUGUGAGAACACUGUGUACCCUGGACUCACCAGAGUUGAUGUAAUCCAGGUUUGCUGACAUUCUUGAGGCAUGGAAAUUUUUCCUUAUUUUUAUUCCAGCUCCAAAAGUUUACUGAGAGAACAUCCUAGAAGUAGCCUUUCAUGGCGGUAGCCAUCAGUCCUGGCUACUGAUUGAAAUCACUUGUGGAACUUAAAUUGUAGAUGUCCACUGAAGACAGAUGAUUAGAACCUACAGAUGAAUGGAUUAAGAAGAUGUGGUAUAUAUAUACAAUGG